GACGAACGCUGGCGGCGUGCUUAACACAUGCAAGUCGAACGGAAAAGCCCUGCUUGUUUGGGGUGCUCGAGUGGCGAACGGGUGUGUAACACGUGAGUAACCUGCCCUUGACUUUGUGAUAACUUCGGGAAACUGGGGCUAAUACCGGAUAGGAGCUCCUGCUGCAUGGUGGGGGUUGGAAAGUUUCGGCGGUUGGGGAUGGACUCGCGGCUUACGAGCUUGUUGGUGGGGUAGUGGCUUACCAAGGAUUUGACGGGUAGCCGGACUGAGAGGGUGACCGGCACCAUUGUCCCAGAGAUGCCGCCAAGACUGAUAAGGGAGGCAGGAGUGAGGGAUAGAGCAAGAUGGGCGGCAGGGUGAUGCAGGGACGUCGGGUGCGAAAGGACGGCAUUUGGGGUGGAAACGGAUUACGCUUGUGACGAGGCGUGAGGGCCUGACCAGCGGAAAGAAGAACCGGCUACUUACGU
rnacentral:rRNA from 1 species